rnacentral:lncRNA from 1 species
GGGAGCCAUACGUUGGAGUCUAGGGAGAGCGUAGAUGUCCCAAAGGAGAUCCAGAAGCUCCUAAUCCAGUGGCACAGGGAGAUGUCAAUAUCCAUGUGUAGCAGAGCGAGGUUCUUAACCUUAGCUUUAGGACACACAGGCAAGAGUCCUCCAACAAGUCCCCGCCAACCGCUGGACAGACCCAGAUCACGGACACAUGAAGACAAGACAAGACAGCGAUGGGCAGCGCUGGUGCUACUGCUGUAGAGCCGGAAGCUCCUAAUCCAGUGGCACAGGGAGAUGUCAAUAUCCAUGUGUAUCAGAGCGAGGUUCUUAACCUUAGCUUUAGGACACACAGGUAAGUUCCAUUGAUGAAGGGCACAAGUGUUCC